AACGAACGCUGGCGGCAGGCUUAACACAUGCAAGUCGAACGCCCCGCAAGGGGAGUGGCAGACGGGUGAGUAACGCGUGGGAACAUACCCUUUUCUACGGAAUAGCUCUGGGAAACUGGAAUUAAUACCGUAUACGCCCUACGGGGGAAAGAUUUAUCGGGGAAGGAUUGGCCCGCGUUGGAUUAGCUAGUUGGUGGGGUAAAGGCCUACCAAGGCGACGAUCCAUAGCUGGUCUGAGAGGAUGAUCAGCCACAUUGGGACUGAGACACGGCCCAAACUCCUACGGGAGGCAGCAGUGGGGAAUAUUGGACAAUGGGCGCAAGCCUGAUCCAGCCAUGCCGCGUGAGUGAUGAAGGCCCUAGGGUUGUAAAGCUCUUUCACCGAUGAAGAUAAUGACGGUAGUCGGAGAAGAAGCCCCGGCUAACUUCGUG
rnacentral:rRNA from 1 species